AGCAAUAUGACAGAUAAAUGUGAUAGAUUUAAGCUUUAUUUAUGGGUAUAGACCCUGUUGUUU
rnacentral:tRNA from 1 species